AGGAAGGAGAGGAAGUGAAGUUGCUGGAGGCAUCAGAGGCCAGGCCCUGGUUCUCUCUCCCAUAGCAGCACCAACACGUAGAGACCAUAUUUGUCUGAAGACACCUUCUCCGCUUUUUAUUUUCCUAUACCCUGUCAGAUCCACACAGCCCUGGGAGGAGCUUAGACCACUACAUGAAAUGAAUCACAGACGCAGAGUGUGCACGCAUGUGCUUGGUGUGCAUUCAGAUAGGUAACUACGCGAGAGCGUGCCUGCAAAUGCCCGCGUGCACAAGAAUGUGGGCCACAGUGGAACGGUACACUGGGGGAAGAAGCCACAGAGGAGGACGUGGAGCCUCAGAGGGAGUAAGUGACCUGCCCAGGCUCCCACAGUGAGCACAUGGACUGAGGGCAGCUACCCACUCUCUGCCCAGAAGCAGCAAAUCACCUCCUUUGGGCCACCCUCCAUUGAGGGCAUCCCCAGGUCAAAACCCUCCUCCUCCCUCCAGCAAAAGGGAGCCCCAGCAUCUACCUGUCUCCCCAA